GGCAUAGGCAAACUCGGCCCUCCAGAUGUUUUGGGACUACAACUCCCAUCAUCGGAUGAUGGGAGUUGUAGUCCCAAAACAUCUGGAGGGCCGAGUUUGCCUAUGCC